AUGCUCCUUAACCACCACGGGACGAUGGUCCUCCUCCACACGACGGGACGUCAUCACAGCCUCAAGCCCCAGGCAGGGCACCUCAUGCCCACAUGCCUCUUCCUUCCCAGGCAGCAAGAAAUAGUCCGGCCGUUGCUGGGGAAAUGGACGAUUCACUCCUACGAGAGGAGAAUUGUAGGAGCAAGGAGCAGCUGGACUCACAGGAAUUGUCCAUCCUUCCUCUGCCCCCAGGAACACAUAGGCUCAUUAAAGCAGACUUCCUGUAUCUUCAGUACAGCAGAGACAGUAUGGGUGACUAGGGGCUGUGACUUUUUUUAAAGCACCUACAGGGAACCCAUAAAGACUACAUGGGGGCUAGGAGGGAUAUUAUGGAAGAGGUGGGACUUGAGAGGUGACGGACAUCAUAUUCAUGACUUCAGCAAAUAAUACCGUAUCUUAUCCAAGGUUACUUAGUAGUUGACUUUAUAUUAGAAUGUGCUGUGACUCUUAACACUCAAAAGAACGUAGAAAGUGAAACCACACUAGGAAAAGAGCAAGAUCCUUCUGGAGUCCUAUAAGUCUUGUUUUAGAAAUGGAUACCUGACAGCGAUUCACACAUUCAUUGCAACGAAUGGAGAUGGAUAUACAUCGACUUUGUCGACUCUGAACACUUGGAUUCUACUUUUCUGUGCAUCCAGUUGUAGGGUUGUACGUUCUGAUUACCUCCCUGUAGGUGUCAGGGUUACCACUAUGAAAUAAUGAUUAUCAAAAGGCUAUUGGCUAAAUACAGUCACUGUGUUGGUUAAAUUCAUUCACAAUGUUCAUUCACAAAAGCAUUCUAUAACAAUUACUUCAUACAAAAUACUGCACAGAGUCACAUUACUGCAAUGUGUUUUAAAUGAUAUUUCCCGGGGGGGGGGGGGUACUUAUUGUCUUGACUUCCCAUAAAUAUAUGACCUACAUUCCUUGUUUAAAAAAGGAAAUGAAACAGUUUGGGAUUUCUUUUAAUUUCAGUGUGUGUAAUCAUGAUUGCAGUGUACAGUAUAAGCACUAUGAGAGUUAUUGAAACCAGUUUUAUUUUAAACCUGAUAUUUGAGGCUCGUUAUUAUUUUGUUCCCAUGCUAGAUUAACCAAAACACACACACACACAUUGUGGCUUGCAUUACAUGAGCCAGGAUUCAAUACGUAUACCUUUUAUGAGGAUAAUGGUUGUGUGCACGUCAGUAAAUUAGACCAGCUCUGUUGUUCAUAUGCUCCUCAUUAGCCCCAACAUCCAAGCCAAGUGUGCAUGCUCAUUGGAAAGACAUCUUAAUAUGGAAAACACUUAAAUGCAGCUGGUGCGAGACCACGUGACAUUUCAACAAUGAUCAUUUUUUUGUGUUUUCAAUUUCUAUUGUGAUAUUUUGAUUUAGUAUAAGCGUACUUACCUAGCUUGUUUGCAUGUGUUGGGUUAUUUCCAUCCCAACAUUUUGUUAGUUGACUACUCUGCAAGCUGCGUUCCAGUAAGGGAUAUGUAAAAAUCAUGAUCUUAUUUGAUGGAAUAUUGAUUGAAUGAUGAAUUACUUUGUACAUGAACAAAUAUGUAGAACUAAUGUUUAUUCGUUUUGAGGAAUAUUUUUUUGUAAACUUUUUAUCGAUCGUGUACCUUUUCCCAAUGUUUUAGUAAUUCAGUCAGUGCAGAAACAUUGCUGCUAAAAGCCCUGAUGUAUUUAUUUUUAUUUUUACACACUCUUGCAAGCGAACAGAAAAGCUUAGAAGUAGAUGUGUUUAUACCUGCAUAAUUAAAAAUCUAUAUUGUCUGUUAACCUCAUGAUUUUACCAUCCUUUAUAAUUCAAUUCAAUUGAUAGGAAUGUGAAAAUGAUGGGCUGUCCUGUCAGGUUAUUCUUCAUAUGAAUGUGAAUAAUAUUAGGCUAUCACAAAUUCUGUCAUGCUCAUAUCGGGUUGAAUCCACAGUGGACUAAUUUCAUCCUUUGAACAAAUGUUUUUCCCCAAACUCAUUGUAAUGGGUUACUCAUCAGAAUCUAAAGAGUGGGACAUUUUCUUGUUCUUUCAGAAUUAGCUCUGAAUUGGCAACUCCAGUUCAAAACUGAAAUCAGCUUAUUCAUUCUGGCACAUCCACACUCAAGUGGCCAUCUGGAGAUAUGGGGUGUUAUAAUGCAAUAUGAAAUUAAUGUGGCUUUUUCGAUUUCUCAUAUAUACAAUUAAAAUGGCAAUCAAUUGGUGUCAGUAGCAAUUUGACUGAAAAUUAAAUCCUGGGCUUUUCAUGGCCAUUUGAGCAUUUUGUCAAAUUUGUUCUCUGAGAGCAACUGGGGUAAAUCACGAGGUAAAAGCACUAAAUCCAACUCAAGUUUUAGAGCUGGAACAACCUUGGAUUGUGGGAACUAACUUUGCUUGGCUGAUAGGUUACAUAAUAUGUCAGGAAAUGGAUUUACAUAGGAAUUAGGAAUAUUAAUGCCAAAAGUAUUGGUGUCGACCUGACUCUGUUAGUCCACUGGAAAACCAGUAAAUUAUCAGGAUAAAGGCUAAUAUUAAUUUGGCAACAAUAUCUCGAUAGGUGGUAAGAAUGUACAGAGUGUAUAUUAGAUUUGAAAUGCAUGCUUGGAUAGUUUUAUAGUACGGUAAGCAAUUGAUGUGUAUACGUAAGAGACACUGGGUGUGUGUUUUGGGAUGUUUUGGCUCCUGGCAAUCCAUGAUAUAUGUGUAGUCAUGCCAUGAUGUGUCUUUGGGGAGAGAAUAUGCACACAUUGGGAAUACCCUUCUCUGUUAGUCCACUGGGCAUUCUAAAGCUUAACAAAACAUGUUCAUUUGCUGCCAUCCCCAUGAUGUCACAGCAAUGUACUGUAGAGUGCCAUCCUCAACCCUCAAUACAGUCUCCACUGGUCCACAAUGAAAUAUCUGUCCUUUUGUUGAUUUUACCACUGAAAGGUACCUGGUAAUUCAGGUCAGAGUAUCUGGAUUGCUACAGUCUACACAGACACAGUAAAACCAUACGUAGCUAAAAUGUUAAGUCGCUGGAGCCGGGUUCGAGACCCUGUCGGAGCUACUCCCGAAUUCGCUACAUUGACGUCAGAAGUCGGGAUGGUGCCUGGGAGGCCAUCGCAGAGGCGUGUUCACGUGAGGAACUUGGUAUAGAGAAGCUUGGGGACACAGUCUCUCGAAGGAAGGGGAUGUAGUGUAGUAUCAUUGAUCGAGACA
ensembl:lncRNA